GUGAAAUCGUGAAUACCGCAAGAAGUGAAUAGUUGGAAUAUUUCAGUGAAUUUUCUUCUUCAGAUAUUCUAGAACAUUCUUUCAUCCUGUUCAGACACAUCGGAAUACGAAAGUUCCAGAAUAGGCCUUUCUGGAAAUAAAAUACCCCUAUAUAAAGGAGGAUUGGAGUGACGGGAGGUCAGUUGAGGAUUGAAUCUCAAUGGGUUCACAUCUCCAGAAGUUGAGGGGAACAGAGUUGAUUAAGAUAUUCUAGAACAUUCUUUCAUCCUGGGAAGAUACAACCGAAUACGAAAGUUCUAGAAUAGCACUUUCUAGAAAUGAAAUACCCCUAUAUAAGGGUGGACAGAAGCGACUGGAGAUCAGUUGAGGAUUGAAUCUCAAUAAGUUCACAUCUCCAGAAAUUGAUGGGAAUGAAGUUGAUUGAGAUAUAGAACAUUCUUUUAUUCUGGGAAGACACAUCUGAACAUGAGAGUUCUAAAAUAGACCUUUCUGGAAAUAGGAUACCCCUAUAUAAGGGAGGGUUGAAACUUGUGAGAAGGAAGUGAUAGAGGAUUUCCAUUCAUAAUGCCGAGGCGCUGCUCGAUUCCAAAUUGUCCCCAACGACCAAAUAAGUCAUUCUUCGCUAUACCACGCGAUAAAAAUAUACGAGAACAGCCCGAGUGGAAAUUCCGGUCAGAUCUCGAUCAAGUUUGGAUCAGGUUAGACCUGACCACUGAUCAGAUAUUGAUCAAAUUGAUGGAUCCGGUCCUGAUCAGACAUGUUACGCCUCCGACCAAUCCGGAUUUGAUCAGGACGAAUGGAUCCGAACUUGAUCAA